GAGUUUGAUCCUGGCUCAGAUUGAACGCUGGCGGCAGGCCUAACACAUGCAAGUCGAGCGGAUGACGGGAGCUUGCUCCUUGAUUCAGCGGCGGACGGGUGAGUAAUGCCUAGGAAUCUGCCUGGUAGUGGGGGACAACGUUUCGAAAGGAACGCUAAUACCGCAUACGUCCUACGGGAGAAAGCAGGGGACCUUCGGGCCUUGCGCUAUCAGAUGAGCCUAGGUCGGAUUAGCUAGUUGGUGGGGUAAUGGCUCACCAAGGCGACGAUCCGUAACUGGUCUGAGAGGAUGAUCAGUCACACUGGAACUGAGACACGGUCCAGACUCCUACGGGAGGCAGCAGUGGGGAAUAUUGGACAAUGGGCGAAAGCCUGAUCCAGCCAUGCCGCGUGUGUGAAGAAGGUCUUCGGAUUGUAAAGCACUUUAAGUUGGGAGGAAGGGCAGUAAGUUAAUACCUUGCUGUUUUGACGUUACCGACAGAAUAAGCACCGGCUAACUCUGUGCCAGCAG
rnacentral:rRNA from 3 species